GUGUUUGCUUCAGCGGCCCAUAUACUAAAAUUGGAAUAAUACAGAGAAGAUAGUAUGGCCCCUGAGCAAGGAUGACACACAAAUUCAUGAAACGUUCCACAAUUUU